rnacentral:rRNA from 2 species
GCCGGGGGGCGUGCCCUAUACAUGCAAGUCGAACGAGUUCUCGUUGAUGAUCGGUGCUUGCACCGAGAUUCAACAUGGAACGAGUGGCGGACGGGUGAGUAACACGUGGGUAACCUGCCCUUAAGUGGGGGAUAACAUUUGGAAACAGAUGCUAAUACCGCAUAGAUCCAAGAACCGCAUGGUUCUUGGCUGAAAGAUGGCGUAAGCUAUCGCUUUUGGAUGGACCCGCGGCGUAUUAGCUAGUUGGUGAGGUAAUGGCUCACCAAGGCGAUGAUACGUAGCCGAACUGAGAGGUUGAUCGGCCACAUUGGGACUGAGACACGGCCCAAACUCCUACGGGAGGCAGCAGUAGGGAAUCUUCCACAAUGGACGCAAGUCUGAUGGAGCAACGCCGCGUGAGUGAAGAAGGCUUUCGGGUCGUAAAACUCUGUUGUUGGAGAAGAAUGGUCGGCAGAGUAACUGUUGUCGGCGUGACGGUAUCCAACCAGAAAGCCACGGCUAACUACGUGCCAGCAGCCGCGGUAAUACGUAGGUGGCAAGCGUUAUCCGGAUUUAUUGGGCGUAAAGCGAGCGCAGGCGGUUUUUAAGUCUGAUGUGAAAGCCCUCGGCUUAACCGAGGAAGCGCAUCGGAAACUGGGAAACUUGAGUGCAGAAGAGGACAGUGGAACUCCAUGUGUAGCGGUGAAAUGCGUAGAUAUAUGGAAGAACACCAGUGGCGAAGGCGGCUGUCUGGUCUGUAACUGACGCUGAGGCUCGAAAGCAUGGGUAGCGAACAGGAUUAGAUACCCUGGUAGUCCAUGCCGUAAACGAUGAAUGCUAGGUGUUGGAGGGUUUCCGCCCUUCAGUGCCGCAGCUAACGCAUUAAGCAUUCCGCCUGGGGAGUACGACCGCAAGGUUGAAACUCAAAGGAAUUGACGGGGGCCCGCACAAGCGGUGGAGCAUGUGGUUUAAUUCGAAGCAACGCGAAGAACCUUACCAGGUCUUGACAUCUUUUGAUCACCUGAGAGAUCAGGUUUCCCCUUCGGGGGCAAAAUGACAGGUGGUGCAUGGUUGUCGUCAGCUCGUGUCGUGAGAUGUUGGGUUAAGUCCCGCAACGAGCGCAACCCUUAUGACUAGUUGCCAGCAUUUAGUUGGGCACUCUAGUAAGACUGCCGGUGACAAACCGGAGGAAGGUGGGGAUGACGUCAAAUCAUCAUGCCCCUUAUGACCUGGGCUACACACGUGCUACAAUGGAUGGUACAACGAGUUGCGAGACCGCGAGGUCAAGCUAAUCUCUUAAAGCCAUUCUCAGUUCGGACUGUAGGCUGCAACUCGCCUACACGAAGUCGGAAUCGCUAGUAAUCGCGGAUCAGCACGCCGCGGUGAAUACGUUCCCGGGCCUUGUACACACCGCCCGUCACACCAUGAGAGUUUGUAACACCCGAAGCCGGUGGCGUAACCCUUUUAGGGAGCGAGCUGUGUA